UGUGUGUAUAUGUGAAUGACUGGUGAAUAAAACAGAGUCAUCCACUUGACUUUGGGUGUAUUCUGGGCUCUUAGAAGAAACAACCUUCCAUAAUUUUAAAGAAA